rnacentral:lncRNA from 1 species
ACACAACCUCAGCUGCAAAUAAUUACUGAAAAGAACAAAAUUUCAAAACAUCUUAUAAUGACCUGAUGCCAUAGAUUGUACGAGGCCUUACUAAUAUGAGCAUGAAUCAGUAUUAUUUCUGUCACUAUAACUACAUUUUACAACUUCGACACUAUAUGAUGCUAAAGAACAAUUUUCUAAUCGAUACAAUUGCCAACCUAACCUCAAGAAGAUGAAAGCUAAUUACUAGUAUAUGCUCUGAUAAUUGUAUUUUAUGUUUUACGUGCUUCUUCCACAAAGUAGCGCUGUACAAUAAAUAUAACACGAAAACUGGGAUAGACCAUAUGAAGUCGGCAGAUAUUCCUCCUGUUUUAUUUCUGUGGACUUGAUCAUACUAUCCCUCACUGCACUCCUAUAGUGCCCCAUGCAUUAUGUUAAUCUGUCAUGGUAGUCAACCUGGAAAUAUUAUAAAUAAUAACGAUCACUGAGGGCAAAAAUGCCAAAAAAAUAAAAGAUGGAGACGUUUUCCACAAUGAAGGUGAAAGAUAGGAACGUUUUGCGCCAAUUACCCUUUUGAAAGAAUAAAUUUUGAAAUAGUUGAUUGAUAAAGAAUGUAUGGUUAAAGAAUGGGAAAAAAAACUGGAUUAACGUAAUAUUAUUUUAUUGAAGAAUGUAUGAUUAAAAUGAUGUUAAAUCACUAUUUAAGAAUGCUUUUUUUUUUCUUUUUUUUCCAGAAUGCGGCUCAAACAGGGCCAAAAUGAAGUUUUAUCUGUUAAUGUUACAUAGUUAAAGAACCAAGAAUCUCAAUUAAAUUUCCACCUAAAAUAGGAUAUAAAUCUGUACACACAACCUCAGCUGCAAAUAAUUACUGAAAAGAACAAAAUUUCAAAACAUCUUAUAAUGACCUGAUGCCAUAGAUUGUACGAGGCCUUACUAAUAUGAGCAUGAAUCUCAGUAUUAUUUCUGUCACUAUAACUACAUUUUACAACUUCGACACUAUAUGAUGCUAAAGAACAAUUUUCUAAUCGAUACAAUUGCCAACCUAACCUCAAGAAGAUGAAAGCUAAUUACUAGUAUAUGCUCUGAUAAUUGUAUUUUAUGUUUUACGUGCUUCUUCCACAAAGUAGCGCUGUACAAUAAAUAUAACACGAAAACUGGGAUAGACCAUAUGAAGUCGGCAGAUAUUCCUCCUGUUUUAUUUCUGUGGACUUGAUCAUACUAUCCCUCACUGCACUCCUAUAGUGCCCCAUGCAUUAUGUUAAUCUGUCAUGGUAGUCAACCUGGAAAUAUUAUAAAUAAUAACGAUCACUGCAUCCAUAACCAUGUUCAAAAUAUACGAGUAUGUGACUACAGAAGAUGACUUCAUUGACUGGAGUAUUACAUGUAAUAUUUCAAAGCACAGGACACAGUUUUUCAUUUUGGAAGGAGAGAAUUCUAAUUACCCAUGUGGCAAGCAUAUAAUUUCCUAUUGAGCUAUUCAAUCUUAAAGUCCUUACCCUCACCAAGUACAUGAAGGCUAAUCAAUGAAAUGAUAUAUAGGGAAAGAUGGUCAUAAAUUUUAGAAACCAGUUCUACAUUUAUUAUUUUAAAGCUAGUUGAAUGAAAGAAAUGAUGAUAUAUUCGAUUAACAUCAAUAUCACAUAUCAUAUUUUGUUCACACAACCUCAGCUGCAAAUAAUUAC